rnacentral:tRNA from 1 species
UGCGAGGUAGAUCAGCGGUAGAUCGCGGGACUCAUAACCCCGGAGUCGCAGGUUCGAUUCCUGCCCUCGCAACCA